CUAUGAAUCACCUGGGCAUAAUGUUAAAAUGCAGAUUCUGUUUUACUGGGUCUGGGGUAGAGUCUGAGAGUCUGCAUUUCUAAUAAACUGU
rnacentral:miRNA from 1 species